rfam:Neosartorya udagawae DNA, contig:Aud0113, strain: IFM 46973.
GCAUCUAUGGCUCAGUGGUAGAGCGUUCCACUCGUAAUGGAAAGGUCCAUGGUUCAAUCCCGUGUAGAUGCA